rnacentral:lncRNA from 1 species
AUGCUGAGCCCACAGCUGCGCAGCUCGCGGGCCCAGGGAGUCCUGGGGAGCACCGACCCGCACGCCUCCACCGCAUUUCCAGCGGCCCCUCUCCUGCGCUGCAGCGCGUCUCCAACCAACCACGAGGUCCCUCCGCGCUCUGCAGGGCGGCUCGGGCGGGGCUCGGCUGGGGGCUCGGCUGGGGGCUCGGGCGGGGCGCGGACACCCGAACCGUCCCGUGCCCGCCUGCCCCGACCCUCCCGCGUCCACCCCCACCUCGUCCUCCACCUGCCGCAGGACCGUCGCUGCUACCGGGUGUCCGAGGCCGCGAGCGCGCCCGACCACACACGCCCGUCGCAGCGCCUCCCCCGGGCCGCGGGCCACCCGGCAGCAGCCCCCCUGCGCGCCUCCCCUGAGCGCCCUCAGGCCCGCCCGCAGCCCGCCCCGCCCCGCCCCCCGUGGCCCUCGCGCCCCGCGCUCCCCCAGCCCCGACCCGGCCCCGGCCCGCCCUCGCCCCGGCGCGCAGAAGGGGCCCGGCGGGGGCCACGCCGUCCACCACCUACCAUCCUCCCCGGCGCUUUCCCGGCUUCUCGCCGGCUCCGCGUCCGCGCAGGCGCCCCAGCCCGCAGCCCGCCCCGCCCCGCCCCCCGCGGCGGCGCCCGGACACCCACUCAGAGCGAGGGGGCGGGACGCUCAGGUCAGGCUCGGCCUCCCAGCUCCCGACGUGCACCGCGCCCCCGGGGCCGCCGGGACCCAGGCCCGCCGCCUCCUACAGCUCCCGACGUGCACCGCGCCCCCGGGGCCGCCGGGACCCAGGCCCGCCGCCUCCUACAAUUCCCGACGUGCACCGCGCCCCCGGGGCUGCCGGGACCCAGGCCCGCCGCCUCCUACAAUUCCCGACGUGCACCGCGCCCCCGGGGCCGCCGGCACCCAGGCCCGCCGCCUCCUACAGCUCCCGACGUGCACCGCGCCGCCCGGGGCCGCCGGGACCCAGACCCGCGCCUCCUACAGCUCCCGACGUGCACCGCGCCGCCCGGGGCCGCCAGCACCCAGGCCCGGCCCCUGAGGGGACGCCGCUCCCUCGGGGCGCGUCCGCGCAGACCGCGUUCGGGAGAGGGCGACCGAGGGCCGCGGCCGGGGCCCUCUCCACGCCCGAGCGCGUCCCCGUCCCCGCCCCCGUCCCCGCCCCGGGGCGGGCCUGUCGGUGCUAGAGGGAUGCGAGUGAGGCGCGACCCGGCCGGCCGCUCGGCUCCCGGCGCCGCAGACCCGGACCGAGCGCGCACGUCCGCCGGCCGCGUGCAGGUGAGCGCUGCUGGGGUCGGCGCGGGGCGGGCGUCCCGGGCGUCCAGGCUCCACCCCGCGGCGCGCGCAGGCCCGCCCCCGCCCCCCUGCCGGUGCCUGCUGCGGGGCUGCGCGGCGCGAGGGGCGGUGUGA